UGUGAGAAUGGCAUCUAUUUCACAUUAAAGUCACAACGGACAAAGAUGAGCAUGCGUCCAUUAGCUUGUUGGUAAGGUACGCUUACCAAGGCAACGAUGGGUAGGGUCCUGAGAGGGAGAUCCCCACACUGGUACUGAGACACGGACCAGACUCCUACGGGAGGCAGCAGUGAGGAAUAUUGGACAAUGGGCGCAAGCCUGAUCCAGCCAUGCCGCGUGCAGGAUGACGGUCCUAUGGAUUGUAAACUGCUUUGUACAGGAAGAAACACUGGUUCGUGAACCAGCUUGACGGUACUGUAAGAAUAAGGAUCGGCUAACUCCGUG
rnacentral:rRNA from 1 species